AUAUCCUCAUAACUUAAAUAAAUAUGUGAAAGGAAGUCAGUGUACAACACCCUUGAAUAAUGCAUAGGAGCCUUUUAAAAGAAAGAUAACAUCUCCUGGACCUUCAGCAUCAUUUUAGAUUACUUUUAUCACAAUCUUGCUUAAAUAUGUAUAAAACUAACACAAUUCAAUACCAAGCGCUUUUGCUUAUAGCUCUUAUGCAAUUCAGAAACCAAAAUAAAAUAAUGCAGUGGAUCAUGGUGUCCUGCUGCAGGGAAAUCAUGGCCUGCGAUGUAAAAAAGUCAUUAACCGCCUUCCUGACUGCUGCAAAGCACCAUCCUGCCACCCCUGGGCUUUCCCUUAGUGUGUACGUGUCAUUUACAAAUCAAUACCCCUUCUUUCCCCACCUCAUCGGCCAGGAUAGCCUCAUACCUGCUAAUGGAAAUCAAUGAAAACUCUGAAAUUCCGCAGCAGAUAAUCAGAAUGUACGCAUAAUCCCUGCUUGCAGAGAGGACACAGAGUCCCCCUGAGAAUGGAUUUGAGCACCCCAGUUUGAGAACUAUUGCUAUGGAAACCAAAUUCCUUAAACCUAGUGAUGAUUCUGAAACCUUCCUAGCAUGUGUUACUUUCACCAUUCAGGUGACACGGGGCAUUUAUUCCUUCCUUCUGCACUGGUCAGUGGCUCCUCCAGACUUCAGAACAAGGCAGGUGGACUGUUCUGUAGCAGCUCUUUUCUAAGCUGAGUUAUAACUGCGACUUCAAGAAAGUCACUUCUCUUCUCUGAGCCUCCAUUUCCCCACCUGCAAAUUAGAUGGUUGAACUCCAAGGGCAUUUCCAUCUCUUAUAGUCGCUAUUGCUAUGAGAUAUAUAAGAGGGAACUGAACCAAAGCACAGUGCUGCUAACUAGGUAGUCACAGAGGCAAGCAAAAUGUGUCCCCUGGUGGGAACGACAUGGAUACUUGGUCAUCUGAAGACAAACAUGGGAGCAACAGGACAUUACAACUAAAAUGGACCCUGGAGAUCAUUUAGGCUACAGUUCCUGUUUUACAAAUUUAUAUAUAAGAGUAACUGCUCUAGGCUAGGUUUUUUGCAAGAUGUUGGAGAUAUAACAGCGUGUAUGUUGCAUGCUCAGUCAUGUCCGAUUCUUUGCAACCCUAUGGCCCCUCUCUCCAUGGAAUUUUCCAGGCAAGAGUACUGGAGUGGGUUGCUAUUUCCUAC
rnacentral:lncRNA from 1 species